rfam:Schistosoma rodhaini strain Burundi genome assembly, scaffold: SROB_scaffold0002608
GCAUUGCUGAGGAGUCCCACAAUAGGACGAAACGACCUUACAGUGC